rnacentral:rRNA from 1 species
CCUACGGGUGGCAGCAGUGGGGAAUAUUGCGCAAUGGGCGAAAGCCUGACGCAGCGACGCCGCGUGAGGGAUGAAGGUCUUCGGAUCGUAAACCUCUGUCAGCAGGGAAGAACGGUCACUGUGCUAAUCAGCAGUGAAUUGACGGUACCUGCAAAGGACGCACCGGCUAACUCCGUGCCAGCAGCCGCGGUAAUACGGAGGGUGCGAGCGGUAAUCGGAAUUACUGGGCGUAAAGCGCUCGUAGGCGGUAUGUCAAGUCAAGGGUGAAAUCCCCGCGCUCAACGUGGGAACUGCCGUUGAAACUGGCAGACUGGAGUGUGUGAGAGGAAAGUGGAAUUCCAGGUGUAGGAGUGAAAUCCGUAGAUAUCUGGAGGAACAUCAGUGGCGAAGGCGACUAUCUGGCACAUAACUGACGCUGAGGAGCGAAAGCGUGGGUAGCAAACAGGAUUAGAUACCCGAGUAGUC